UCAGGUCUUCUGCUUUGACGAUGUUGCACUACUGAACCAUCUAAUCAAGCAGUGCAAUAGUAUUGUCAUUGCAUUCGACUUGAGC
rfam:Astyanax mexicanus Tnplaced_Scaffold_4937, whole genome shotgun sequence.